CUACGGGUUGCUGCAGUGAGGAAUUUUGCGCAAUGGGGGAAACCCUGACGCAGCAACGCCGCGUGAGCGAAGAAGGCCUUCGGGUCGUAAAGCUCUGUCAAGUGGGAAAAAAAUUCUUUGAUGAACAGUCAAAGGACUUGAUGGUACCACUGGAGGAAGCACCGGCUAACUCCGUGCCAGCAGCCGCGGUAAUACGGAGGGUGCAAGCGUUGUUCGGAAUUACUGGGCGUAAAGAGCGUGUAGGCGGUUUGACAAGUCAGAUGUGAAAGCCCCGGGCUCAACCCGGGAAGUGCAUUUGAAACUGUUUCACUAGAGUAUGGGAGAGGAGAUUGGAAUUCCUGGUGUAGAGGUGAAAUUCGUAGAUAUCAGGAGGAACACCCGUGGCGAAGGCGAUUCUCUGGACCAAUACUGACGCUGAGACGCGAAAGCGUGGGGAGCAAACAGGAUUAGAUACCCCAGUAGUC
rnacentral:rRNA from 1 species